GAAAUGCGAUAAGUAAUGUGAAUUGCAGAAUUCCGUGAAUCAUCGAAUCUUUGAACGCACAUUGCGCCCUCUGGUAUUCCGGGGGGCAUGCCUGUCCGAGCGUCAUUUCAACCAUCAAGCCCCCGGCUUGUGUUGGGGACCUGCGGCUGCCCGCAGGCCCUGAAAAACAGUGGCGGGCUCGCUGUCACACCGAGCGUAGUAGCAUACAUUCUCGCUCAGGGCGUGCUGCGGGUUCCGGCCGUUAAACGACCUUCAUAACCCAAGGUUGACCUCGGAUCAGGUAGGAAGACCCGCUGAACUUAAGC
rnacentral:misc_RNA from 1 species